AUUAUGCAGAACUUGUUUGGUUGUUAUUACUUAUUCGCUUACUGUUGUCAAAUUUAAGGUGUUUUUUUUAUUUUGAUAUACAGUUUUCUUGUUAAUUUUAGUCCAAUCAACUCGGCCUACCACCGUUCCAUCUACAUCUGAAACAGUUGUUUCAUCAACAUCUACCACAUUCGGAAAGUUUAAAAGCUAUUUCUUUGUUCACUUUGUAUGUAAUAUGUGUAUGUAAGGCCAAUUUCUAAUACUUUUUUUCUUGGUUACACCUUUUUUUAAUCUAUAUCUGCCACAGUUACUAAGUUUAAAAGCUAUUACUUUUUAAUCUCUGUAAUAAUUUAAUGCCUAAAUCAAAUAUUUUUUGAUUGAUUACAUCCUUUUCACAAAUAGUAAGUUUAAAAACUAAAUA